rnacentral:lncRNA from 1 species
UUCAUUGAAACACUUCUUUCUGUACUGAAUGUGUAUUUUUUUUAUCAGGACCUGAACUAAUAGUAAGAACAUCAUAAUAUUCAGUAUGCUAAAAAGAAGUGUUAUGAAAGUGGCAGGGCAUGGUCCAGCCAUUUUAAAAAGGGGGUCCUAACCCUGGACAAAAGGGGAUAGGGUUCCAACUACAUGUCCCCAUCCAAAUGCACUGAUCGUCCAAAAAAAGGGGUCCAUCCCCCUGGAUCCGCCACUGAGGUUUUUUUUUAUCGUUCGGCUGCUGUUCUGUUGACAUAUGUAAAAUAUCUCCAAUAUUAAAAGUCUCUGGAUCAUAGUGGGUGCCGUAUUACCUUUUUUUUUUUCUAAAACGUGCUUUGUAUAUAGAAAUAAGAAGAUGAGGUAUGAGUGCCAAAUGAGACAUCUUUCCAACAAAGACAUAAUUUAGUAAAGUGUGCAGUCAUAGGUCCAAUGCUGAAAAGUAAGCUAUUAAUGACCCAUAAAUUACUCGUGUAAAACAAUCAAAAAAAAAAAAAAAAAAAAAAAAAAA